UUCCUCAACUGUUCUAUGAUGGAGUAGUCCUGCAUUUUUAUUUUCUUCAAAAUUCUUCUGCCUCUUCUUCUGACACAGCCUUUUUCACUGGCUCUGGGUUAUCUUAAACAAUUCUGGCCUUCCUCAAUUCUUCUAGGGAAAAGUACCUUCCUGAAUGAGUUAAACCCCGUGCCUUACAAACUUCCUCUCUCACUUCUUUCUCCUUGUUCAUCACUAUUGCCUGUUGAUAUCUCCAAGGGGCGACUUUGUUGUUGAUGAUGGGUGGCUGGAUCACUGGUUUCACAAUAACUUGCUCGAUGCGGACACCUUCCACAACCACGACAGGUUUGCUAUCUGCCCCAUGUGCUGUUACUUUUGCAUGUUCCUGCUUUGGCGUAGCUGCGCAUGCUGAGCUCCCUUGAAUUGUGACGGGCUUGCUGCCCUCUUUUGCCCCGGUUACUGGCUUCUAACUGGUUGCGACCUUAGUUGGCUUACAUUCACUGGCUUUGAUCAUCAUUACUGUCUGUGAAGUUCUUCUGGACCCUCCCUUUCUCUCCACAAUUUCAAUCAUGUUGGUUUCCCUGAUUGGCCGGCAGUGGGUUUUGGUUAUUAUUGAGUGUCUUAGGAGUGUGCACCUCAAUCCCGUGGGAGUCAAUAAGUUCUUGGAUAGCGUUCUUUAAAUGCCAAAAUUUUUCGUUGUCAUGACCAGGUGCAUCAGAACAGUAUUCGCAGCUGACUGAAUAAUUUAAAUUCUUUGGGGGAGGAUGUGGCAGUUUCGCCUCAAUUAGUCUCAACAUAUCCAAUUGUCGCAGCCUGUGGAAUAGGCUAGUGUAAGAUUUUCCCAUCGGAGUGAAAGUCUUCUUUUUCAUACCCGCUUAUUUUUCAGGGCUGGAUUGCCCUUGGAAGGCGGGCCUCGGGGGGUUGUUGGUAAUCUCUCGAAGGAGGGUAGUGAUUUUUUGGGGUUGGGUAAGUGUUUUUAGGGGGUGGUGCACACUAUUGGGCGUGAGCAGGAGGUUGAGUAUCUGCUUGCGCAUGAUGGACUGAGAAGCAAGGUUCUGGUGGUGGAUAGUAUUGCUGUGGUGGGCCAUAUGGAGUGUGUGGGUAUGUCUGGUGGUGAAGACCCGGAAUGAGCGUAAUGAGACAGUGCCCGAGGCCUUAACCAAGUUCCUGACUCUACUGUCGCUACUUCCUCCUUCUUCUUUUUCCCGAAAGCUCCCCCAGCUCCACCCUGGAUGGCUUUAGUAGUUGCCUUAAUUGCAGAGUAACUCAUGGUUUUAUUGGAUUUGAGGCCUUCCUCAAUCAUGCUUCCCAUCUUGACCACUUCAUUGAAAGACUUUCCUUUUGCUGAUACCAAAUGCCCGAAGUAGGUAGGUUCCAGAGCUUGUAGAAAAUAGCCAACCAUCUCACUCUCCUUCAUGGGAGGGUCAACUCUAGCUGCUUGUUCCCUCCAACGGAAGCCGUACUCCCUGUAACUCUCGUUGUGUUUCUUCUCCAGCUUUGUGAGAGAUAGACGAUCGGGGACAAUUUAUAGAUUAUAUUGAAAGUGGAAGGCAAACGCUUGUGCCAAGUCAUCCAAGGUAUACCACCGAUUGGGAUCCUGACUAGUAUACCACUCCAAUGGCGAUCCAAUCAAACCCUAGCUAAAGUAUGCCAUUAGCAAUUUAUCUUUUCCCCAUGCUCCUCUCUUUUUGCUGCAAAACCCUCUCAAAUGCGUGACUGGAUCGCCGUGACCAUCAUAUAAGUCAAAUUUAGGCAUUUUGAAACCUAAGGAAACUGCACGUCCGGGAACAAACAAAGAUCCUUGAAUGCCACGCUCACCUGGCCACCUAAUCCCCGCAUGUCUUAAAGGAUUAUUCCAGACUCCGAACCUUUCUAGAAUCUCCUCCUGCUCAGGAUAUUUGGUCGAUUUUUCAACUCCUCUUGGGAUUUUAGGCCGGGGAGCAUAGGAGUAAGGUUCUUGGGUUUUGUAGGCAGGUUCUGGUGGAUAGUAUUAAGGGUCAUAUUCUUGAAGUAGUGGUUUACUUGAUGACCUACGCAAUAUAGGAGGCACAAGUGCCACACAGAUAGGAGUGAUUGGCGGGGGAAGGUGAGGAGUGGCUUUGGGUAGUGGGGCUUAUGGCUGAGAGGUAGCACCCUGAUGCUGUGAGUAUAUAGGAAAGCUUGGAGGCGGAUCAGUGACGGACUGGUCAGGUGCUUGGGCCAGUGGUGGGAUGAAGGUUGGGUUGGAAGGAUAGGUCUUAGGUGGCUGUCCUCUUGCCCAUGCCUGGUACAUCUCGACCAUUUGGUGUUUAAGCUUAUACAUUUCCUCCUUCAUAGCAUUAACGUCCAGUUCUUCUGCCUCAUUCGAGGGGUCAAUAAUGCUGACAUCAGCUUCUUGAUUAGCCAUGACUUGUUUGCUUUUCAACCGCGUGUUGUAGGAGUGAGUUUUCAAGAAUGUAGUAACGUCCAAUUCCUCUGCCUCCUUUGAGGGGUCAAUAAUGCUGACAUCAGUUUCUUGGUUGGCCAUGACUUGUUUGCUUUUCAAACACGUGUUGUAGGAGUUAGUUUCAUGAAUGUCGCGAGUACUAGUCACCUGUCUAAUUUGGAACUGGACAUCACAACACCAAAAACUUGUUAGUGGUUAGGUUCUAACACGUAAGCGGCCACAUAUGGAGUAUGCACGCACAUAAAUGACAGUCAAUCCCUACACGUAUUGAUUACUUGCGUCAUCCCGGCCUUUAUUUGCGAAGCUUCCUUUUGUUUUAGCAUUAUUAUUUCCCUCUCCCAUAUUUAUUCAGUUUUGUAUUCAAUUAUUGUCGAAUUAUAUGUACAUUGCCUACGUAUCAUCUUCCCGCAUGAAUCAGACCGAGCGUAGUUCUUGGAAGUAAAAAGCGAAGCAUAACAUAUUUUUUCCAUUCUCAUAACAAUAGACUUCAAUUACAAGAACUCGAAAGGUGGCAGAUUAAACAAAAACGAACUAUAGACUCGAACAACAACUAACUAUGCAUAAUGAAAAUACAGACUAUUGGUUGAACUAAUAGACUCUAAAACAUAUUUUGACAAAAGGCAGUGCAAUCUUUAUGAAUAUAUUAAUGCUCCAAGUUCUCGGGGGCCUCGAGGGGCACCAUUCGGCCUUUCUGCUGGCUUGAGUGCUAGACUCCCUUGGAGUUGGUGGAGGUCUUCCAUCUCUUAUCAGACAAAAGUCAUGGCGGUGGCAAAGAACAUGGAUUUUUUCAUAUCCUCGAAAUGGCUGCACCUUGUGGUGAAGUAAUCUGCGAUCGCUUGUACUCUUUCCCUAAUGACACCCUUUUCUUGCAACAAACGCCCAAUCUAAAGUUCCCUCAGCUACCUGAUUCAGUUCCUGGAAUUGCCUCAAAUCCAUCUCCAACCUUGCUAUCGCUGCAUAAUAAUGUUCUCUCUCAGCCUUGCUAUUCAUCCGAGAGGUUAUCUAAGAUCUAUAUUUGGGAGAUUAUUCGCCUUCAUGGUUUGCCCAUAUCUAUCAUUUUGGACAGGGGUAUUCAGUUUACCUCACACUUAUGGAGAGCAGUACAGCGAGAGUUGGGCACAUGGGUUGAGUUGAGCACAUCAUUUCAUUCUUAGACGGAUGGCCAGUCCGAGCGGACUAUUCAGAUUUUGCAGGAUACGCUCCGAGCUUGUGCCAUUGACUUUGGAGGUUCGUGGGAUCAAUGUUUGCCUUUAGCAGAGUUUGCCUACAUCAUCAGCUACCAGUAAAGUAUCUAUAUGGCUCCUUAUGAGGCUUUACAUGAUAGGCGGUGUCGAUCCCUGGUUGGAUGGUUUGAGCCGCAAGAGGCUUGGUUGUUGGGGACGGAUCUAGUUCAGGAAGCCUUGGACAAGGUCAUGAUCAUUUAGGAUAAGCUUUGUACGACUCAUUCUAGGUAAAAGAGCUAUGCAGACCGCAAGGCUCGAGAUGUGGCUUUUAUGGUUGGUGAGCGCGUAUUGCUCCGGGUAUCACCUAUAAAGGGCGUGAUUAGAUUUGAGAAAAAGGGCAAGCUUAGCCCUAGGUACAUUGGUUCAUUUGAGAUUCUUGAUUGAGUGGGAAAGGUGGCUUAUAGACUUUCAUUGCCACCAAGCUUGUCUGUAGUGCAUCCAACUAUUUAUGUAUCCAUGCUCCGAAAAUAUCACGGCGAUCCAUCCCACGCAUUAGAUUUCAGAACUGUCCAGUUGGACAAAGACUUAUCUUAUGAAGAGGAGCCGGUGGCUAUUCUAGACCGGCAGGUUCGUAAGUUGAGGUCAAAGAGUUUUCCUUAUGUUCGUGUUCAGUGAAGAGGUCAGCCUCCUAAGGCAUCGACCUAGGAGUCCUAUUAAAAGGAAAUGAGGUCCGGUGGCUGGCAUAUACACGAUUUCAUCGAUGGGGAGCCACCCGAAUGUCCACUAUAUCUGAUUUGCAGUGACAACCAGCGAUGCGAUACCCAUUUUGUGACACCCUCAGGCAUCUAAACCCGUUAGUCCUGUUGUAGAAUUCUUCUGCAGCUCUUUGUUGGUGACCCAUAAUUCAUGAAGUGAGGCCGGUGGCAUAACUGCCGAAUCAUCCAUAUUUGUAACAAUAUGUUACAUCCCUCAAAGAAGUCUCCUCCUGCUAUACAGGUGGUGAGAGCACGGAAGAUUUCGGAUAAGAUCGUAGGAGCCAGGGUGCUCUUGGCCUGAGUUAUUAAAGUGCUGACGACCCCCGCGAUCCGUAUGUCAAUAUUUCCGUCCUUCCACGGAAACACCAGAACACCCAGGAAAACUACCAUGAAUGCAAAACAUCGAUUCUCCUCCCACUUGAGUUGGUACCCUCUGCUACAAAUAUAGUUGUCCGGGUUAUUGAAUCCCCCUAUAUGCCCGUACCUAUGAUAUAUGAACAUUGGGGGUACAUAAGCCGGCUGAUAAGUCUGGGUUGUGAACCUUCCUACUAAUUUUGAAGGAGUCCAGGAACUUGUGCACGACAAGGGCUCUUGGUAAAAUCAGAUAUUGGUGUCUUAAAGGAAUUGUAGGGAUCCCAAUAUAUCCAGUUAUUUCUUCCAACGUCGGUGUGAGCUCAAAAUCUGAGAAAUGGAAGACAUUGUGAGCCGAGUCCCAGAAUGUGAUCAAUGCCUUUAUGAUAUCCCUCCUCGGGUUAAUUUUUAAUAGCCCAGUAAGUCCUCAAAAAUGCGUGUUGACCUUGUUUUUUCGUGCUUCCCCCAGGUCAUUCUACUACAG
rnacentral:lncRNA from 1 species